AUUGAACGCUGGCGGCAUGCUUUACACAUGCAAGUCGAACGGCAGCGCGGGCUUCGAACUGGCUGCGAGUGGCGAACGGGUGAGUAAUGCAUCGGAACGUGCCCAUUCGUGGUGGCUAGCACGGCGAAAGCCGGAUUAAUACCUCAUACGACCUGAGGGUGGCAGCGGGUGUCCGAAAGGCCUCGCGCUAUUCGCCCGGCCGAUGUCGGAUCAGCUAGUUGGUGGGGUAAAGGCUUACCAAGGCGACGAUCCGUAGCUGGUCUGAGAGGACGACCAGCCACACUGGGACUGAGACACGGCCCAGACUCCUACGGGAGGCAGCAGUGGGGAAUUUUGGACAAUGGGGGCAACCCUGAUCCAGCCAUGCCGCGUGCGGGAAGAAGGCCUUCGGGUUGUAAACCGCUUUUGUUCGGGAAGAAAUCCUCUGGGCUAAUACCCCGGGGGGAUGACGGUACCGGAAGAAUAAGCACCGGCUAACUACGUG
rnacentral:rRNA from 1 species